CUCCUGGGUGCUGGGGAAAAGUCUGUUGACAAAGCCACCAGCUGUCCCCAGUUGGAGCCAGGGAGACAGACUCCUCCUCCCUGAACCACCACCUACACAGGGAGACCAUUCCUACCAGGACCCAGUCAGCAACGGAACUUGGACCAUCUUGAAGCUCAGAUCACAGGCUCCGAGCGACCUCCCCUCCAGCUCCAGCUGCCCAGCCUAACAAGAACAAGGGCACAAGACCUCACCCAGGCCUUUCUGGAACCAGCAGCCAGUAGGCUCUGGAGAUUCCAAAGGGCAGCUGGUUGCCAAGGAGAAAAAAAAUAAAAUAAGACUACAGAAGAAUGAAGAGACCUGAAGGACCCCAACUUUUUCUGGCAUCCCCAGGACUGGUUCUUCUGAGGAAAGAAGAGUAGAGAGGUUCAUCAGAAGCAGAAGGCCCAAGUGGGAGCUCCCUGAAGCCCACCAUUGGGGACACGUGUUGAGCGAUGUCCUGCAGCACGGAGCACAGUGGAUCCCUGGAGAGGAGGAGGCAGACUGGGCCUGUGAAUGAGAGGCAUGACGUAUGUAUUCAAGGCUCAGUCUGAUGAAAAGAUUUGGAAGCCUAGCAUAAGGUUAGGUUCUGACUAUCUCUGAUGCUCACAGAGAGCCGCCGAGACUUUGCAGUAGAAGACAAGGUCUUACAGAGAUAGCCCUUCAAGGCUUUUAAAAUCACUUUGCAGAGAAGAAUGACCCUGGACUUCUGAUACACUUCCAGGAAUCUGUCAAGGACCAUCUGCCACCACAUGCUACUAUAUACUCCCUAUAUGCAUGUUAAAUAAGCAAACAAAUGCCUACCUGCAUGCAGUCGUGCGGCAAGACAACUGUAGGGGGAGGUGUGUGUGGUGGGGCUUUUGGUACCUAAGAUGUGGCAGACUCCUUCCCAACUUGCUGGACAGCAUCAGUUUUGCAAAAACACCAUACUAAGUCACCUUCCCACAGCACCCAUUCUGCACCAGGAUUUGCUGAGCACUGAGAACCCCCACUUCUUCCCACAGCGCUAUGAGAAGAAAUGACUGUUUGUCUG
ensembl:lncRNA